UACAGAGGUCUCGAGCGUUGUUCGGAUUCAUUGGGCGUAAAGGGUGCGUAGGUGGCGCUGUAAGUCGGGUGUGAAAUCCUGAGGCUUAACCUCGGAACUGCAUUCGAUACUGCGGCGCUUGAGGACUGGAGAGGAGACUGGAAUUCAUGGUGUAGCAGUGAAAUGCGUAGAUAUGCGGAGGAACACCGAUGGCGAAGGCAAUCCCCUGGACCUGUACUGACGCUCAUGCACGAAAGCGUGGGGAGCAAACGGG
rnacentral:rRNA from 1 species